GUGGCGGACGGGUGAGGAACGCGUGAGAACCUGCCUCAAGGUCGGGGACAACAGUUGGAAACGACUGCUAAUACCGGAUGAGCCUUCGGGUAAAAGAUUUAUCGCCUAGAGAGGGGCUCGCGUCUGAUUAGCUAGAUGGUGAGGUAAAGGCUUACCAUGGCGACGAUCAGUAGCUGGUCUGAGAGGAUGAGCAGCCACACUGGGACUGAGACACGGCCCAGACUCCUACGGGAGGCAGCAGUGGGGAAUUUUCCGCAAUGGGCGAAAGCCUGACGGAGCAAUACCGCGUGAGGGAGGAAGGCUCUUGGGUUGUAAACCUCAAAACUUAGGGAAGAAAAAAAUGACGGUACCUAAUGUAAGCAUCGGCUAACUCCGUGCCAGCAGCCGCGGUAAUACGGAGGAUGCAAGCGUUAUCCGGAAUCAUUGGGCGUAAAGAGUCCGUAGGUGGCACUUCAAGUCUGCUUUCAAAGACCGAAGCUCAACUUCGGAAAGGGAGUGGAAACUGAAGAGCUAGAGUAUAGUAGGGGUAGAGGGAAUUCCUAGUGUAGCGGUGAAAUGCGUAGAGAUUAGGAAGAACACCAGUGGCGAAGGCGCUCUACUGGGCAUAUACUGACACUGAGGGACGAAAGCUAGGGGAGCGAAAGGGAUUAGAUACCCCUGUAGUCCUA
rnacentral:rRNA from 1 species